ACGUUACUACCUCCGUUCCAUAUUAGGUGCCGCCAACGGAUGUAUCUAGCAGUGAAAUAUGUCUAGAUACAUCCAUUUCAGCGGCAACUAAUAUGGAACGGAGGGAGUACUUA
rfam:Hordeum vulgare subsp. vulgare, WGS project CAJW01000000 data, contig: morex_contig_40224